rnacentral:rRNA from 1 species
UACGUAGGGGGCAAGCGUUGUCCGGAUUUAUUGGGCGUAAAGAGCUCGUAGGCGGUUUGGUAAGUCUGGUGUGAAAUCUCCACGCUCAACGUGGAGGGGCCACCCGAUACUGCCAUGACUGGAGUCCGGUAGAGGAGUGUGGAAUUCCCGGUGUAGCGGUGAAAUGCGCAGAUAUCUGGAGGAACACCGGUGGCGAAGGCGGCAUCCUGGACCAAUUCUGACGCUGAGGAGCGAAAGCCAGGGGAGCAAACGGG